UGUGAAUGUUAAUAAUACUGUUAGGGAUCUAAGAAAUGAGGGUAAGUAUUAUCUGUAGCAAAGAAACUUGUGAAUGUUAAUAAUACUGUUAGGGACCAAAGAAAUGAGGGAUAAGAAGUGGCUUAUAGACUGACUUUCCCUGAGUAGCUGUAAGACAGGCUGAACCACCUUAAUCCAUAGUGACGUUUAUUUUUAAAGCUUGCCUCUUGUGUGGACCACAAACCAGAUUCUGUUACCCGUAUUUCUUCUUGUUCUGUAGUUUUAGUCUUGUACAGAACAGUGUUCCCAGACUUCAAGAAUUUUCUGAUCUUUUAAAACUUGUAUAAAUCUGAGACAAGUUUGUAGUCUUCUCUCCAGGAAAAUAAUUUGGUUUAUUUACAAGGUUUCAGUAAAACGCCCUCCAGAAAGGUUCAGCAUCUGGUAGAUUUCAAAUGACAUCAUAGUGAUGCCACUGAUAUAACCUGUUUUUUGUAAUGAUUAAAAAAUUUCGUACAAGAAAAGCAAGUCUAUGUAACUAAUUAAAAGAAAAUCGUAAUGAAAUUUUUUAUUGAGAAUAUUUUUUGUUUGAAUUUUAAUUCGUAUCUGUACGUGGUGGUAUGUAAAGGAUAAAAUUGAUACUAAGUUUUGUGUAUCCAGUCAUUUAAGGUUGUGCACAAAAUAUAACAAAGAAAGCUCAGACAUUGAUUUGAAUAUAUCUAAUUAUUUAACUGUCUGUAGUUAAGUAGAAUCAAAUGGUACAAGUGUUAAGUUAUCUUUGUUCUUAUUUAACUGUUUGUAAUUUUUUCACGUCGGGUAAGAUAUGUUUAUAUAACUAGUUAUUUUAAUUCUUUGAAAUUGUAAACUGAAUGUAGGCAGUGAAAGAUGUAUUCCUAAUUCAAAUAGUUUGAAAAUGUAGUGUAGAUUUAAAUAGAUAUUUUUAGAAAAUUUAUAACAUUUUUUAAAGACCAUGAUACACUGAGUGUGUAUGUGUAAAAUUUUUGAAAUGUAGUAAAGAAAUACACGAACUUUACCUAUAAGAUACCCGAGUAACAUUACAUAGUAAUACCGUGUGGUAUGUAUAGAGAUCGUGACAAGUUUUUAUCAUCUUAUUUAGUUUAAUAGUCUAUAUCCUGUACAAAAUCUCGGUCACCGUUUACGUACUUGUUGUAAGUAUCUUCUUCAAAGUAACUUGCUACCAAAUCAAAACCUUUUGUUAACGUUUAGUUUUCAAAUAUGGUUUAGGAACUGAAUUAUGAAAUGCUGUAUUUUACCUUGUUGUUUAUACGAAGAAAUGUUUAAUGUAUUUCAGAACUAUUAAAAAAUUUAAGUGCUCUAAUGAAAAUUA